rnacentral:rRNA from 1 species
ACGAACGCUGGCGGCGUGCUUAACACAUGCAAGUCGAACGGAAAGGCCCUGCUUUUGUGGGGUGCUCGAGUGGCGAACGGGUGAGUAACACGUGAGUAACCUGGCCUUGACUUUGGGAUAACUUCAGGAAACUGGGGCUAAUACCGGAUAGGAGCUCCUGCUGCAUGGUGGGGGUUGGAAAGUUUCGGCGGUUGGGGAUGGACUCGCGGCUUAUCAGCUUGUUGGUGGGGUAGUGGCUUACCAAGGCUUUGACGGGUAGCCGGCCUGAGAGGGUGACCGGCCACAUUGGGACUGAGAUACGGCCCAGACUCCUACGGGAGGCAGCAGUGGGGAAUAUUGCACAAUGGGCGGAAGCCUGAUGCAGCAACGCCGCGUGCGGGAUGACGGCCUUCGGGUUGUAAACCGCUUUCGCCUGUGACGAAGCGUGAGUGACGGUAAUGGGUAAAGAAGCACCGGCUAACUACGUG